ACUCCUACGGGAGGCAGCAGUGGGGAAUAUUGCACAAUGGGGGAAAACCCUGAUGCAGCCAUGCCGCGUGUGUGAAGAAGGCCUUCGGGUUGUAAAAGCACUUUCAGCGAGGAGGAAAGGUGUGUGCUAAUACCAUACAUCUGUGACGUUACUCGCAGAAGAAGCACCGGCUAACUCCGUGCCAGCAGCCGCGGUAAUACGGAGGGUGCGAGCGUUAAUCGGAAUUACUGGGCGUAAAGCGCGUGUAGGUGGCUUGUUAAGCCAGAUGUGAAAGCCCCGGCUCAAGCCUGGAACUGGCAUUUGGAACUGGCAGGUCUAGAG
rnacentral:rRNA from 1 species